CCUACGGGAGGCAGCAGUGGGGAAUAUUGCACAAUGGGGGAAACCCUGAUGCAGCGACGCCGCGUGAGUGAAGAAGUAAUUCGUUACGUAAAGCUCUAUCAGCAGGGAAGAAACACUGACCUUACGGUCAGCAGACGGUACCUGAGUAAGAAGCCCCGGCUAACUACGUGCAAGCAGCCGCGGUAAUACGUAGGGGGCAAGCGUUAUCCGGAUUUACUGGGUGUAAAGGGAGCGUAGGCGGUGCGCCAAGUCUGGAAUGAAAUGCCGCAGCUUAACUGCGGAACUGCUUUGGAAACUGGCGAACUAGAGUGCGUGAGGGGUAAGCGGAAUUCCGAGUGUAGCGGUGAAAUGCGUAGAUAUUAGGAGGAACACCGGUGGCGAAGGCGGCUUACUGGACCGUAACUGACGUUGAGGCUCGAAAGCGUGGGGAGCAAACAGGAUUAGAUACCCGGGUAGUC
rnacentral:rRNA from 1 species